GAUGAACGCUAGCUACAGGCUUAACACAUGCAAGUCGAGGGGAAACGAUAUUGGAAGCUUGCUUCCGAUAGGCGUCGACCGGCGCUCGGGUGAGUAACGCGUAUCCAACCUGCCCACCACUUGGGGAUAACCUUGCGAAAGUAAGACUAAUACCCAAUGACGUCUCUAGAAGACAUCUGAAAGAGAUUAAAGAUUUAUCGGUGAUGGAUGGGGAUGCGUCUGGUUAGCUUGUUGGCGGGGUAACGGCCCACCAAGGCUACGAUCAGUAGGGGUUCUGAGAGGGAGGUCCCCCACAUUGGAACUGAGACACGGUCCAAACUCCUACGGGAGGCAGCAGUGAGGAAUAUUGGUCAAUGGGCGAGAGCCUGAACCAGCCAAGUAGCGUGCAGGAUGACGGCCCUAUGGGUUGUAAACUGCUUUUAUAAGGGAAUAAGGUGAGUCUCGUGAGACUUUUUGCAUGUACCUUAUGGAUAAGGACCGGCUAAUUCCGUGCCAGCCGCCGCAGUAA
rnacentral:rRNA from 1 species